GACGAACGCUGGCGGCGUGCUUAACACAUGCAAGUCGAACGGAAAGGCCCUGCUUUUGUGGGGUGCUCGAGUGGCGAACGGGUGAGUAACACGUGAGUAACCUGCCCUUGACUUUGGGAUAACUUCAGGAAACUGGGGCUAAUACCGGAUAGGAGCUCCUGCUGCAUGGUGGGGGUUGGAAAGUUUCGGCGGUUGGGGAUGGACUCGCGGCUUAUCAGCUUGUUGGUGGGGUAGUGGCUUACCAAGGCUUUGACGGGUAGCCGGCAUGAGAGGGUGACCGGCCACAUUGGGACUGAGAGACGGCCCAGAAUCCUACGGGAGGCAGCAGUGGGGAAUAUUGCACAAUGGGAGGAAGCCAGAUGCAGAAACGCCGCGUGCGGGAUGACGGCCUUCGGGUUGUAAACCGAUUUAGCAUGUGACGAAGCGUGAGUGACGGUAAUGGGUAAAGAAGCACCGGCUAACUACGUG
rnacentral:rRNA from 1 species